UACGUAGGAGACGAGCGUUGUCCGGAGUUACUGGGCGUAAAGGGUGCGCAGGUGGCGGCGCGCGUGGGGGGUGAAAUCGCCCGGCUUAACUGGGCGGGGGCCUUCCAGACGGCGUGGCUUGAGCAGCGGAGGGGGACGUGGAAUUCCGGGUGUAGUGGUGAAAUGCGUAGAGAUCCGGAGGAACCCCAGAGGCGAAGGCGGCGCCCUGGCUCGCAACUGACGCUCAGACACGACAGCAUGGGGAGCGAACGGG
rnacentral:rRNA from 1 species